rnacentral:rRNA from 1 species
AGCUGAAGGUACUGUACGAAUAAGCACCGGCUAACUCCGUGCCAGCAGCCGCGGUAAUACGGAGGGUGCAAGCGUUAUCCGGAUUUAUUGGGUUUAAAGGGUCCGUAGGCGGAUCUGUAAGUCAGUGGUGAAAUCUCAUAGCUUAACUAUGAAACUGCCAUUGAUACUGCAGGUCUUGAGUAAGGUAGAAGUAGCUGGAAUAAGUAGUGUAGCGGUGAAAUGCAUAGAUAUUACUUAGAACACCAAUUGCGAAGGCAGGUUACUAUGUCUUAACUGACGCUGAUGGACGAAAGCGUGGGGAGCGAACAGGAUUAGAUACCCUGGUAGUCCACGCUGUAAACGAUGCUAACUCGUUUUUGGGUUUUCGGAUUCAGAGACUAAGCGAAAGUGAUAAGUUAGCCACCUGGGGAGUACGAACGCAAGUUUGAAACUCAAAGGAAUUGACGGGGGCCCGCACAAGCGGUGGAUUAUGUGGUUUAAUUCGAUGAUACGCGAGGAACCUUACCAAGACUUAAAUGGGAAUUGACAGAUUUAGAAAUAGAUCCUCCUUCGGGCAAUUUUCAAGGUGCUGCAUGGUUGUCGUCAGCUCGUGCCGUGAGGUGUUAGGUUAAGUCCUGCAACGAGCGCAACCCCUGUCACUAGUUGCCAUCAUUCAGUUGGGGACUCUAGUGAGACUGCCUACGCAAGUAGAGAGGAAGGUGGGGAUGACGUCAAAUCAUCACGGCCCUUACGUCUUGGGCCACACACGUAAUACAAUGGCCGGUACAGAGGGCAGCUACACAGCGAUGUGAUGCAAAUCUCGAAAGCCGGUCUCAGUUCGGAUUGGAGUCUGCAACUCGACUCUAUGAAGCUGGAAUCGCUAGUAAUCGCGCAUCAGCCAUGGCGCGGUGAAUACGUUCCCGGGCCUUGUACACACCGCCCGUCAAGCCAUGGAAGUCUGGGGUACCUGAAGUCGGUGACCGUAACAGGAGCUGCCUAGGGUAAAACAGGUAACUAGGGCUAAGUCGUAACAAGGUA